AAACAGACGAUGACGGAGAAUAUUAAAAAAGGCUUUUAAAGAGACCUGAUGGGUGGUGUGAAUCAGGAAAGGCAAUUUUAAUUCUCACUCCUAAGUUUCAUAUCUGAAUAAAGUAAGAUAUGACGUUACUCACGUUACGAGAUCAAAGUGACAUAAACGAUGUUUAUGUAAUUUGGGUGGUACCGCGCAGACAAAGACUGCGUCCCAUUU
rnacentral:ncRNA from 1 species